CUUCUUGGCUCCGGGCAGGGUGCGCCGAUGGGAAACCCCCAAUCGGCUGGGUGAUUUUUUUUUUUUGGAGGGGGGAGCUGUCCCCCGCAGCACCUGCCUCUCGAGUCUUCCUCUCCCGCUGCUGGACUGACGGGUGGGGCGAGGAAGGAGGGUGGAUGAGGCUUGAGCAAGCGUUGGUCGCCCGGCCUCAGAGGAAGUUCUCCCGGCUCGCCGAGGAGCCGCGUCCGGCCGUCCCCUGGGCCAUGCCGGCUCUGUUCGCUCCGAGCCCCUUCAGGCGCGCCUGCCGACUUAGGGCUCCCGGAGCUCGCCGGCCGCGGAGGGCAGCGCAGCCUCCACGCGGCGCCGCAGGCCUGGCACCGGCCGCGUCCCCGCCUCGCUCUUCUCGGCAGCCGCCUGGCACUUGCAACUAACUUCGCCCAAGUUUCCUGCGCCGCGGCGCCCCUCUCGGCGCGCUCCUGGGAGCGUGCGCCCGCGAGUCCGCCGCGCCCGGGGCCCCUCUGUCCUCGCUGCUGUGGCCAGAGCCGAGCCGGCGCAGGGGCGGAGGUGCUGCAGGAGAGUUAAGGAAAACGGGCCAUCACCUCAGUUCGCAGGUCCGCGCUGUGGCACCUCCCGCUCUCCCCACUCCCGCGGCGCAGGGGGCCCCUUCCCAGCCCAGGCCGCCCUCUGCACCGGCUCAGGUGAGUGUGGCUACCUGCAUGUGUGCGCGCCCGGAGCCGGCACUGGGUGUGCAUGUCCAGCCGCGGCUGUGUGUGUAUAUCUGGGGGCCUGCGGAGGAGGUGGAGCCCAGGACUCGGGGAGGGAGGAGGGAUCAGCGGAGCCGCCUCCCGCUCCCACACCCCCAGGACCUCGAAUUAACAGAUCCCCUCCGCCCCCCGCCCCCUCCCAAUCCUCCUCCUCCCACUCCUUUUCACUUGAGAGCAGGUUUAGGCGAGUGGAGAGUCCGGAGCGCGCCGGGGAGUCUGCGCCCUGUUUGGCGUUGGCAAACCCUGGUGUCAUCCCGGCUACCCAGGCCGGCCUGGCGUGCAGCUGCCCUGGUUGUGGCCCUGGAAUCCUCGCCGGGAGGAAGAAGGCGGCGGGCACGAGUAGGAGAGCCUCUCCAGCUACGGAGGAAGAGGGUUAAACCUGGAGAAGGGGAGACUCACCCUUGAAAAUGUUUGAGACUGUUCCUAGCAAGAAAGUGCUCAUUUUCCUUGGAGGUCCAGGUGUUGCUUGCAACAGAAACAGAGGCUUCUCGCAUUUUCUUGCACUGGCGAUGCACCUAGUCAGAGGUAGUGGAGUGAAAAAUAACUCUGGAGGGAAUAAGGACAUUCUUGGCAACCUUUCCAAAAAAGAGCUAGCCCAGACUGAGAGUAUGCAUCCUUGACUGACUAUUCAGCUCUUUAAAAAUUCUGUGUUGUUUGUCUUUUGUUGUAAUCUUGGUCGCCAGAACCAUCUAUAUACUGAUCUCUUUAAGGUACAGUUAACUUACAGUGUCUCACUUACAUGCGCUGCUGAGGUGAAGGUGUUUAAAAUCAAUAAGUGUAAGUAGUUUCCCUGGAAGAGAGAAGUAAAACGUACCAAUCACUCAGUGCUGGAAUAUUUUUAUGCUAAGCAUAAUUUCCUUCUUUAGUAGUUAGAGCAGUUUUUUAAAAAAAAUAGUUAACACGAUGCAGAAGUCAAACAGCAUGAUUCUGUUUCCGUAUUUUCCUCACUUUUUGGUAUGCUGCGGCACAUUUAGAACAUGAUCUGUCUGGAGGUUUUAUUCACAUGGUGGCCUGCCCUUCAGGGAGAACUUGCUUGCCUUCUUUCUUUGGCAGUUUGGAUUUGACCUAGCCCUGUGGUAUGUGCAAGUAGGAACAUCUACAAACGGUUAACUCUUUAAGUCUUCCUACGAUUUAUGUUCAGUUCAUUCACACACACACACACACACACACACACACACACACAAAAGCUUUGAUUGUAAUUAUGAACGUGAAUUAAAACUGUUUCAGGCCAUCAGAUUUAUGUAAAAGUUAGGCUUGUUUUGUUCAUUUUAAUAAAAGAAUAGUGACUUAAAAAUUACAGUCGUGAUAACAAAACUGUGAACAGCAGUGGCAUCUAUGUGGGUUUUUGUUUUUCUGAAGAUGUCGUAUUGACAAGCUUAUUUUGUAUCGGUUAUGCCCUUGCAUUGUUAAAAUAAUUGGACUGAUUUCUCCAGAACCAUAUUCCUUUACAGGCUCUGUAAAGACACUCUUGUCAUUCACAGACUCUGGCUGGAGCAAUGGGAAAACACUAGCAUGUGUAAUUACAUAGACUGGAAUAUUAAAUAUACUGUUUUGUGAUGAUAAACUACAAAAUUAUCGUCCCUGAGCUUUUCACCUACUGACUUAUAGGUUUGAGACAAAAAUACUAUACACUGGAACAUAAAGAACAUAUGUAUAUAUAGGCCACAAAACAUGAAAUCUGUUAUUCACUAAAUAUUGUGAAUAAAGUUAAAUUUAAUCGUGAAAAUUAUUUUGACACAUAAAAAGGGAGAAGGAUUGUGAAAAUGUGUUUUAUAUUAGUGAGUUAAGUGAUUUUAUACUAUUCAAAUUUAAGUGUAAAAAUCUACUGCAAUAAAUUAUUACAUUAGAAAUGUUUGUAUAUAUGAUUGAAAUGUAUGCUUACAUGUGCAAUGUCUUAUAGGAAUAAUAUAUGUAAGGUUCCUUGGCUAUAGUUUUUUCCAGUAUACAUUUACAAUAUUGUCUGUCUAGUGAUAUUAAAUGAGCCAAAUUUGAACACUCUCAAGUCCAAGAAUGUUGAACUGUGGGAAACAAAGGUGUCAUAAGAAGAAAAUGACUAUUUGUGUGCUUGUCUAUUCACCAAAUGAAACUUCCCACAUUUCAAAAUAGGAAAGAUUUGGUUUUAGUUCUUGGCUUCUAGGGGAUCAAUAUUCUUGGCCUAACCCUUCACAACCAAAGAAAGAGCCCUCAUAAUCGGCCAUUCAUUAAAGAAAGGCAAUGUGGCAUUGCUGUUAUUAACCAGCCUUCACACCUCUUGCCUGAAUCUGGUUGAGCUUUUAACAAAGUAAAUUUUCAAGCCAUUUUCAUUCAUAUGUACCAAAAUGUAAAUUUGCUUUUAAUUUCCUCAUAUCUUGUGUUUGAAUUGAUAGAGGUAUAUUUUUAUUCUUGCUCAGUUUUGUCCUAAAGAUUAAAAAAAUCCCAGCAUAUAGGAAAUGGAAUAGUCUGUGUGAGUGAAUAGUGAAGGAAAAUAAAUUGAAAGAGAAUUGUAAGUUUGAUGAGCUUUAUUUUGUCAACUCUUGAUUGUAAACACCUAAAGAACAGUAUAGAUUUGAUCGGUAGAAUUCGUGUGGGUCUGUAUUUCCCUUGCGGCCACAGUGAUAUAUGUGAUCGCAAAUGUAUCUAGUCGGAAACUGAGUGACACUCCCUCAGAAAAAGUUGUGGGCCUGUGUAAAUUGAGUUUCCUCUUUUCCCCCUUCAAUUCUCCCCAGAAAAUAGUCUCUUUUCAAUUCUAAAACUUUCACUAGGAGGCAGCAAUGAGAUUGUUGGGGAAUAAAAAAUACCUUGGCAACACGACAGGCUGGCUUGCUUGCUUUCUCUUCCACAAGGGAGGGGAGAAUUCUUGGGUCCCAAUGUGAACAGAAUCAUUGUCCCCCAUCAUUUCAUCCUCCUCUCUCUCAUUGGAUUUUCACCUAGGUGGCUCAUUGUCACAUUUUUCUAGAACCAUAGGGAUGAUAAAGCAGCAAGCCAAUGGGGUAAUGAGAGGUGACUAGAUGGAAGUGAUGGGCAGUGAAGGUGAUACCUUCAAAGUGCAGAGGCCAAAUAAUCAUUCAUGGACACUGAGAGCUGACAGCUGUUGUUAGAGAAUGUUGGAGAUCUGUUCUUAAGCAAGUGCAGUGGAAGAAUUCAGAAGCUUUCAUACCUGCAUAGAGAGGUGAUAUAGCCUGUUUGUCCUGUUAAGAAGAAAAUGAGAAGACUGUGACAACAGCCAACCCUGAGGCUUUUGCCACAGUUCUCUGGUCUCACUCCUAUUAGCCCCCAAAAGGGGGAAAAAUCCCAAACACAUGAUCUCCGUAAAGCCCAAGAGACAAAAAGAGCUGUUUGAGGUCAAGUCAUGAUGGAAAGCAACGGCUGUAAGAGUGGCCCUUCACCAGUGCCUGCUAAUUUUUUUAUCCUUUUGAGAUUUCUGUCCUUUUAUUCUCACUGUUACUGCCACACUUGGAAACUGGGAAUAUACAGAUCAAUCAUGGAGAACACCUUUCCUCAUGUCUCCUGAGCAGGGCUCAAGCAGGCUGACAUUUUCAAAAGGAGCCUUACCUAGAGGAUAGAGCAGGAAAAACAAUGUCAAAAACAGUCCCCUCUUGCCCCCCGCAAAAAAAAAAAUAAGAGAAAAAAGACAAUACAAAUAAUUCAAAACAGACAACUUCACAAAGUACCUAUGUCAAAUCCCAAGAAUCCUAUAAAAGCAUAAUUUUCUUAGGAUAAGAACCUUUUUUGUUUUGUAAGUGAGAGGGAGCUAAUCUUGAAUAAAACUAGAAAUGAAUGAGGAGGGUUGGAUAGUGAGGGUGUCAUUGGCCUGGGUAGUGAAAACUUCCAGCCUUCUGUAGCUAUUACAUGAGGAGACUGGCUUUUGGUAGGGUGGGGUUCCUUGUGAAUGAUGAAUCACCAACCAUGCCCCCGUUUAUUUUGAGAAGAACAAACCUGAGAAAGGGGGUUCUCUUAAAUAUCCCAGCAGGGUGGUAGAUAAGCCAUGCUUCUGGCUUUACAGAAGUCACUCUGACUGUCCCCCUCUUCCAGCUUCUGGCUUGCCCAGCCCUGUGCCUUCCUCCCACUCAUAUUCAGGUUCCUAUCUAAGGACGGGUCUGCUUUAGAGCUAAAUUGCUGAGUGGCUCUGCUUCUUAAAAGAAUAAAAAAAUACAUAGCUAUCAGUUAUUGAGUUUUAAGAUACCACACCUUUUGCACACAUUAUUCUAUUUAACUUUUAGGAAAACCCUGUGAUGUAAGCAUUACCAUCUCCAAUUUGCAGACUGGGGAACGAAGCCUUAGAGCAGAUGAAUGAAAAUGACGAGACUCAGAGAAGAAUUAAAUAGACUUUCUAGUCUGCCUGAGCAGGGUGGUCAGUAUGGACGCAGCUGGCACAUGGAGACCACCAAGAAGCCUGUGCUUCUAACCAUCAUGAGAACUGCCUCCACCUGGAUCCUGGCAACCAGCCCCAGG
rnacentral:lncRNA from 1 species